rnacentral:rRNA from 1 species
GAUGAACGCUGGCGGCGUGCCUAAUACAUGCAAGUCGAGCGAACAGACGAGGAGCUUUCUCCCUUGACGUUAGCGGCGGACGGGUGUGUAACACGUGGAUAACCGACCUCUUAGACUGGGAUAACUGCGGGAAACCGGAGCUGAUACCGGAUAAUAUAUUGAACCGCUGGGUACAAUAGUGAAUGACGGCUUUGACGUCCAUGUGAGUUGGAUCCGCGCCGCAUUAGCUAGUUGGUAAGGUAACGGCCUACCAAGGCAACGAUGCGUAGCCGACCUGAGAGGGUGAUCGGCCACACUGGAACUGAGACACGGUCCAGACUCCUACGGGAGGCAGCAGUAGGGAAUCUUCCGCAAUGGGCGAAAGCCUGACGGAGCAACGCCGCGUGAGUGAUGAAGGUCUUCGGAUCGUAAAACUCUGUUAUUAGGGAAGAACAAAUGUGUAAGUAACUAUGCACGUCUUGACGGUACCUAAUCAGAAAGCAACGGCUAACUACGUG